CUGCUGGGAGUGUGUACU
rnacentral:misc_RNA from 1 species